rnacentral:rRNA from 1 species
GUAGGUGGCAAGCGUUGUCCGGAAUUAUUGGGCGUAAAGCGCGCGCAGGCGGUUCUUUAAGUCUGAUGUGAAGGCCCACGGCUCAGCCGUGGAGGGUCAUUGGAAACUGGAGAACUUGAGUACAGAAGAGGAAAGCGGAAUUCCACGUGUAGCGGUGAAAUGCGUAGAGAUGUGGAGGAACACCAGUGGCGAAGGCGGCUUUCUGGUCUGUAACUGACGCUGAGGCGCGAAAGCGUGGGGGAGCAAACAGGAUUAGAUACCCUGGUAGUCCACGCCGUAAACGAUGAGUGCUAAGUGUUAGGGGGUUUCCGCCCCUUAGUGCUGCAGCUAACGCAUUAAGCACUCCGCCUGGGAGUACGGCCGCAAGGCUG